rnacentral:rRNA from 1 species
UACGGGGGGGGCAAGCGUUGUUCGGAAUUACUGGGCGUAAAGGGCUCGUAGGCGGCCAACUAAGUCCGACGUGAAAUCCCCAGGCUUAACCUGGGAACUGCGUCGGAUACUGGAUGGCUUGAAUUCGGGAGAGGGAUGCAGAAUUCCAGGUGUAGCGGUGAAAUGCGUAGAUAUCUGGAGGAAUACCGGUGGCGAAGGCAGCUCUCUGGGACGGUACUGACGCUGAGACGCGAAAGCGUGGGGAGCGAACAGG